GAACGCUGGCGGCAGGCCUAACACAUGCAAGUCGAACGAGGUGCCAGAGCUUGCUCUGGUUACCUAGUGGCGCACGGGUGAGUAACGCGUGGGAACCUGCCCUUGGGUGGGGAACAACCGCUGGAAACGGCGGCUAAUACCGCAUACGCCCUUUGGGGGAAAGACUUCGGUCGCCCAAGGAUGGUCCCGCGUCUGAUUAGCUUGUUGGUGAGGUAACGGCUCACCAAGGCGACGAUCAGUAGCUGGUCUGAGAGGAUGAUCAGCCACACUGGGACUGAGACACGGCCCAGACUCCUACGGGAGGCAGCAGUGGGGAAUAUUGGACAAUGGGGGAAACCCUGAUCCAGCCAUGCCGCGUGAGUGAAGAAGGCCUUAGGGUUGUAAAGCUCUUUCAGUCGUGAAGAUGGUGACUGUAGCGACAGAAGAAGCCCCGGCUAACUCCGUGCCAGCAGCCGCGGUAAUACGGAGGGGGCUAGCGUUGUUCGGAUUUACUGGGCGUAAAGCGCACGUAGGCGGAUCGAUCAGUCAGGGGUGAAAGGCCUGGGCUCAACCCGGGAACUGCCUUUGAUACUGUCGAUCUUGAAUCCGGGAGAGGUAAGCGGAAUUCCAAGUGUAGAGGUGAAAUUCGUAGAUAUUUGGAAGAACACCAGUGGCGAAGGCGGCUUACUGGACCGGUAUUGACGCUGAUGUGCGAAAGCGUGGGGAGCGAACAGGAUUAGAUACCCUGGUAGUCCACGCCGUAAACGAUGAGUGCUAGUUGUCGGGGGUUCGGCCUUCGGUGACGCAGCUAACGCGUUAAGCACUCCGCCUGGGGAGUACGGCCGCAAG
rnacentral:rRNA from 1 species